rnacentral:rRNA from 1 species
CUGGCUCAGGAUGAACGCUAGCGACAGGCCUAACACAUGCAAGUCAGGGGCAGCACAAGGAGCAAUCUGAGGUGGCGACCGGCGCACGGGUGAGUAACACGUAUGCAACCUGCCUGUAAGCGGGGAAUAACCCGUUGAAAGACGGACUAAUACCGCAUAAUACUAAAUCACUGCAUGGUAAUUUAUUUAAACAUUUAUGGCUUACAGAUGGGCAUGCGCAUGAUUAGCUAGUUGGAGAGGUAACGGCUCCCCAAGGCAACGAUCAUUAGGGGUUCUGAGAGGAAGGUCCCCCACACUGGUACUGAGACACGGACCAGACUCCUACGGGAGGCAGCAGUGAGGAAUAUUGGUCAAUGGACGAGAGUCUGAACCAGCCAAGUCGCGUGCAGGAAGAAAUGUCCUAUGGAUUGUAAACUGCUUUUGCAGGGGAAUAAAGUGCAUCACGUGUGAUGUUUUGUAUGUACUCUGCGAAUAAGGAUCGGCUAACUCCGUGCCAGCCGCGGC